GAUGAACGCUGGCGGCGUGCCUAAUACAUGCAAGUCGAGCGAAUGGAUUAAGAGCUUGCUCUUAUGAAGUUAGCGGCGGACGGGUGAGUAACACGUGGGUAACCUGCCCAUAAGACUGGGAUAACUCCGGGAAACCGGGGCUAAUACCGGAUAACAUUUUGAACCGCAUGGUUCGAAAUUGAAAGGCGGCUUCGGCUGUCACUUAUGGAUGGACCCGCGUCGCAUUAGCUAGUUGGUGAGGUAACGGCUCACCAAGGCAACGAUGCGUAGCCGACCUGAGAGGGUGAUCGGCCACACUGGGACUGAGACACGGCCCAGACUCCUACGGGAGGCAGCAGUAGGGAAGCUUCCGCAAUGGACGAAAGUCUGACGGAGCAACGCCGCGUGAGUGAUGAAGGCUUUCGGGUCGUAAAACUCUGUUGUUAGGGAAGAACAAGUGCUAGUUGAAUAAGCUGACACCUUGACGGUACCUAACCAGAGAGCCACGGCUAACUACGUGCCAGCCGCCGCCGUAA
rnacentral:rRNA from 1 species